rnacentral:rRNA from 1 species
CCUACGGGAGACAGCAGUGGGGAAUAUUGCACAAUGGGGGAAACCCUGAUGCAGCGACGCCGCGUGAGUGAAGAAGUAUUUCGGUAUGUAAAGCUCUAUCAGCAGGGAAGAAAAUGAAGGUACCUGAUUAAGAAGCCCCGGCUAACUACGUGCCAGCAGCCGCGGUAAUACGUAGGGGGCAAGCGUUAUCCGGAUUUACUGGGUGUAAAGGGGGCGUAGACGGCAGCACAAGUCUGGAGUGAAAUGCCGGGGCUUAACCCCGGAACUGCUUUGGAAACUGUGCAGCUAGAGUGCAGGAGAGGUAAGUGGAAUUCCUAGUGUAGCGGUGAAAUGCGUAGAUAUUAGGAGGAACACCAGUGGCGAAGGCGGCUUACUGGACUGUAACUGACGUUGAGGCUCGAAAGCGUGGGGAGCAAACAGGAUUAGAUACCCUUGUAGUC